rnacentral:lncRNA from 1 species
UCCUCCACAUUCAACUCCACUUCAGCCUCCUCCACAUGCACCUCCACUUCAGCCACCUCCCCUUCAACCUCGACCUCAGCCUCCUCCCCUUGAACCUCCACCUCAGCCUCCUCCCCUUCAUCCUCCACCUCAGCCUCCUCCUCUUGCACCUCCACUUUGUCCUCCUCAUUCCCACCUACAUGGUUAACUUCACUAUCCACAGUCCN